rnacentral:misc_RNA from 1 species
UCCGGUUUGGCACCGACCUUGCGGGGAGCACAUCUCUGCACUUUUCCGGCACAUGUCAAGCCUUGGUAAGGUUCUUCGCGUUGCAUCGAAUUAAUCCGCAUGCUCCGCCGCUUGUGCGGGCCCCCGUCAAUUCCUUUGAGUUUUAGCCUUGCGGCCGUACUCCCCAGGCGGGGAACUUAAUGCGUUAGCUGCGGCACGGAUCUCGUGGAAUGAGACCCACACCUAGUUCCCAACGUUUACGGCAUGGACUAC